rnacentral:rRNA from 1 species
CCUACGGGUGGCAGCAGUGAGGAAUAUUGGUCAAUGGACGCAAGUCUGAACCAGCCAUGUCGCGUGAAGGAUGACUGCCCUAUGAGUUGUAAACUUCUUUUAUAUGAGAAUAAAACAGGGUAUGCAUACCCUCUUGUAUGUACCAUAUGAAUAAGGAUCGGCUAACUCCGUGCCAGCAGCCGCGGUAAUACGGAGGAUGCAAGCGUUAUCCGGAUUUAUUGGGUUUAAAGGGUGUGUAGGUGGUUAAUUAAGUCAGCGGUGAAAGUUUGUGGCUCAACCAUAAAAUUGCCGUUGAAACUGGUUGACUUGAGAAUAUUUGCGGUAGGCGGAAUGUGUGGUGUAGCGGUGAAAUGCAUAGAGAUCACACAGAACUCCGAUUGCGAAGGCAGCUUACCAAACUAUAUCUGACAUUGAAGCACGAAAGCGUGGGGAUCAAACAGGAUUAGAUACCCCAGUAGUC